rnacentral:tmRNA from 1 species
GGGGUCGACAGGAAUCGACAGGAGGAGUAAUACGCAGGUAAGCAUGCAGGGAGUUGGAAUUUAUCCCUUAAAACACAAGUUCCAAUCGCUUUAACUGGCGAAAACAAUUAUGCGCUUGCUGCUUAAUUCCUAAUAGGAAUUAACUUCAUCUACGGCUCUAGGAGCCGAGACGAGCUGCUCUACCACUGCCUCCCGCCUGCCGGGCGGAGGAUCAGGGCAUCACAAUGGCAGGCUGGUCGUACCGAAGUUUCGGCGGUACGAUAAGAUAAAGAAACUACGGAAAACAUUGGUUUGGUUCUCACCUAAGGUUUUCCCGACAAUCCAAGCAGAAACUAAGCAUGUAGAAAGCUUGUUGAUUCCCUAGCUGGACGUGGGUUCAAAUCCCACCGACUCCACCU